UCUCCGAUGGUGAACCAGCGGAGGGAUCAUUACCGAGUUUACAACUCCCAAACCCAAUGUGAACCAUACCAAACUGUUGCCUCGGCGGGGUCACGCCCCGGGUGCGUCGCAGCCCCGGAACCAGGCGCCCGCCGGAGGGACCAACCAAACUCUUUCUGUAGUCCCCUCGCGGACGUUAUUUUUACAGCUCUGAGCAAAAAUUCAAAAUGAAUCAAAACUUUCAACAACGGAUCUCUUGGUUCUG
rnacentral:misc_RNA from 1 species